UCUGCCUGGUAGUGGGGGAUAACGUCCGGAAACGGACGCUAAUACCGCAUACGUCCUACGGGAGAAAGCAGGGGACCUUCGGGCCUUGCGCUAUCAGAUGAGCCUAGGUCGGAUUAGCUAGUUGGUGGGGUAAUGGCUCACCAAGGCGACGAUCCGUAACUGGUCUGAGAGGAUGAUCAGUCACACUGGAACUGAGACACGGUCCAGACUCCUACGGGAGGCAGCAGUGGGGAAUAUUGGACAAUGGGCGAAAGCCUGAUCCAGCCAUGCCGCGUGUGUGAAGAAGGUCUUCGGAUUGUAAAGCACUUUAAGUUGGGAGGAAGGGCAGUAAAUUAAUACUUUGCUGUUUUGACGUUACCGACAGAAUAAGCACCGGCUAACUCUGUGCCAGCAGCCGCGGUAAUACAGAGGGUGCAAGCGUUAAUCGGAAUUACUGGGCGUAAAGCGCGCGUAGGUGGUUCGUUAAGUUGGAUGUGAAAAUCCCCGGGCUCAACCUGGGAACUGCAUUCAAAACUGACGAGCUAGAGUAUGGUAGAGGGUGGUGGAAUU
rnacentral:rRNA from 1 species